rnacentral:lncRNA from 1 species
CCCCGCUGAGGCCCCACGCACGCACUCUUCGCAAACGCAGUUCUUCAGCCUUCGCUGAUAGAGAGUUGGCAGACUGCGGAGGGCGUUAGACAGCCCCAAAUCCUGGGCUGCCGGGAGGCAAUAAGAGCAGAAGAUGAAGGGCUUGGAGCCAGGGAUGAGCCUGAGGUCUUAGGGGAGGAUAGAGAACCAGAGAAUGAAAGCCGAGCAGGCUCCUUUAGCUUCUUGGAGAGAAGUGGGUUGAGAUUAGGAUGGAGCUGGCGGGGGCCUUUCUUCUUUAGGUUCAGGGGUUUGCCCAGGAGACCAGGGCUAGGGGUCAAAAAGAGCCAACGCCCAGCAGGCUGCCCUGAGUGCCACGGGGUCAGUCAGGCCCCUGGAAGGAAUGAUCCCGCUAUGGCCAAGUUCUGACGAAGAUGAACAGAGAGGCUCUGAGAGGCUGUCCAGCAGAUGAACACAUUUAACUGCGGACAUUUUUGGAACGUAUAGGAAAGCAUGUAGAACAAUUCAGCUUGAGCCUCACCAGGUCUUCCCAUGGUGCAGGCUCCACAUGCUCUGCCCUGGCCAGGUCUGCAGGGUAAUGGCUGCUCUGAGAAGG